UACUUGUUAUCGGGAGAUGUUCGGAUGUGCUGUCGGGCGCAGAUGUGAACUCUUAAAAAUGAUAGUAUCAGAUGUCGCCUUCUAUCAGUUGUAGUUGUAGUUGUAGAUGAUAGCCAAGCAGUGACAUUAUCCAGAAAAUUUCCAUAAGUUGCCUGAUCAAUAGAAAACUGACUGAUCUUUAUAAAUCCUUUUAGUUUUUGAAGCAUUUAGAAAAGGUUCAAUUUUGAUUUCUGAUGUUUAUAAACCCCUCUUCUCCUCACUUGUAUUAGAAACAUGGAUUUAUGCGAGUUGUUAGCCAAUCUCGAGUACCAAUCAUUCUGCCUACCAAUCUGCCUACCAAUCUUUUAGGAUGCCUUAAUUUCUGACGGAAGAACUUCUCAAGAUCGUUGGUUUAUUUACGGAGAAGCCUGGUUCUUUGGGCAACUUGAGCGAAUAAAAUCUGCCUAUGAAGGUGUCUGAAUCGACAGGCUCAUUUUAUUGAAGACCCGGAGAUGAUCUCUGGAACCCUAAAAGCAGAAGUUGCUUUGUUAUUUGGAAGCUGUUCUGAUUCUGAUUAAUCUGGGUUAGUUAAAACAGUUGAGUUCAAUAUCUCAAUUAGCACAGUUCUGUUAUUUGUGAGUUGGCUGAGAAAUGUCUUUCGUUGUUAUGAGACUUAGAGAGAGAACCAAGCCGUGGCCAUGGUGUUGUGAUACACAAUAUUCUCAUUUCACUUUUUGGCGGGUGGAUGUUGAUGCUUGGUAGUUCUCAUGGGGACGGCUUUCUAUGACAGACAUGAAUUGAAUUAAUUUGAGUACAUACGACAAUCUAAUUGCUGGGUAUGUUACAGCUUUGUUGUGGGACAGCAUGGAGAAGACUUUCAGCAUCAUGGAAGCUGGCCUCAUCAAGCCUUAUGUCAACACCUGCUUCAGACAAUUUGGAGAAUUGGAAGACAGUACUAUUUAUUAGAGCCAUGAUAUGUUCUUACUGCAACUGUUCAGAUUGAGGUUGAGGUUAGGUCUGUUGGUGAGGGAUUUAAACCUAGAUCACCCAUGUUAAAGACAGUAGUUAUUACCACUACAGCAUAUCAUAACAGGUUGAUAAAAUCAAGAUGGUUUUAACUUUUAAGCCACGUUUGUAAAAAGUGAAUUUAUAUAUUCAAGCACCAAUAUAAUUUCUGUUGCUUUUCUAGAG